rnacentral:rRNA from 1 species
CCUACGGGUGACAGCAGUGGGGAAUAUUGGUCAAUGGGCGAAAGUCUGAACCAGCCACGUCGCGUGAAGGAUGACUGCCCUCUGGGUUGUAAACUUCUUUUUUACGGACAUAAAACGUGACACUUCUGCCUGUUUGCAUGUACUUUAUGUAUAUGCAUCGGCUAACUCCGUGCCGGAGGCCGCGGUAAUACGGAGGAUCCGAGCGUUAUCCGGAUUUAUUGGGUUUAAAGGGAGCGUAGGUGGGUGGUCAAGUCAGUUGUGAAAGUUCGGGGCUCAACCCUGAGAUUGCAUUUGAAACUGGCAGUCUUGAGUACUGUAGAGGUAAGCGGAAUUCGGGGUGUAGCGGUGAAAUGCUUAGAUAUAACGAAGAACCCCGAUUGCGAAGGCAGCUUGCUGAACUGUAACUGACGCUGAGGCGCGAAAGCGUGGGUAUCAAACAGGAUUAGAUACCCUAGUAGUC